CCUACGGGAGGCAGCAGUGGGGGAUUUUGGACAAUGGGGGGAACCCUGAUCCAGCGACGCCGCGUGAGUGAAGAAGUAUUUCGGUAUGUAACGCUCUGUCAGCAGGGAAGAAAGAAAUGACGGUACCUGACCAAGAAGCCCCGGCUAACUACGUGCCAGCAGCCGCGGUAAUACGUAGGGGGCACGCGUUAUCCGGAAUUACUGGGUGUAAAGGGAGGGUAGACGGUUAAGUAAGUCUGGAGUGAAAGGCCGGGGCCCAACCCCGGGACUGCUCUGGAAACUAUUGAACUUGAGUGCAGGAGGGGUAAGCGGAAUUCCUAGUGUAGCGGUGAAAUGCGUAGAUAUUAGGAGGAACACCAGUGGCGAAGGCGGCUUACUGGACUGUAACUGACGUUGAGGCUCGAAAGCGUGGGGAGCAAACAGGAUUAGAUACCCGAGUAGUC
rnacentral:rRNA from 1 species